CGAUGAGUGGCGGCUCCGAGUCCACCCCUGGCGCGCCGGUGCGGGCGGGAGGCGGGGAGCGUAGGGGCGGCGGCGGCGCAGCAGUAGCGAGCAUGUGCUACGCAGCCCAGUAACCAGGGACGACCGCGGCAACCGAGCCCCGGCGGCUGCGGCUCUCAGCCCCGCGCAACUCCUCGCCGUGGCCGCUUGCACCGCCAAGGCCUGGCCCUCGCCGGGUCCCCGAGGCCCCUUGAACCGUCAGCCGCGGUCGCGCAGCACGCCGGAGCCCCGCGCACGGGACGCGCGGGCACGGCCAGACAAAGGCGCGGCCCCGGCCCGGCCCAGCCCGGCCUGCCGGCCUCCGCGCACCCCGGCCCGACCCAACCGCUCCCGCUGGGCGCCCCGAGCGGGUCCGGCCCGGGGAGCGGGGGCCGCGGCCGCCGAGCAUGGGGAAAUCCAACAGCAAGUUGAAGCCUGAAGUUGUGGAGGAGCUGACCAGAAAAACCUACUUCACUGAGAAAGAAGUACAGCAGUGGUACAAGGGCUUCAUUAAGGACUGCCCCAGCGGGCAGCUGGAUGCCGCUGGCUUCCAGAAGAUCUACAAGCAGUUCUUCCCAUUUGGAGACCCCACCAAGUUCGCCACGUUUGUUUUCAACGUCUUCGACGAGAACAAGGAUGGCAGGAUUGAGUUCUCCGAGUUCAUCCAGGCACUGUCGGUGACCUCAAGGGGGACCCUGGAUGAAAAGCUGCGAUGGGCCUUCAAGCUUUAUGACUUGGAUAACGAUGGCUACAUCACCAGGAACGAGAUGCUCGACAUAGUGGACGCCAUUUACCAGAUGGUGGGGAACACCGUGGAGCUCCCAGAAGAAGAGAACACACCAGAGAAGAGGGUGGACCGGAUCUUUGCCAUGAUGGACAAGAAUGCUGAUGGGAAGCUGACUCUUCAGGAGUUCCAGGAAGGCUCCAAGGCUGAUCCCUCCAUUGUGCAGGCGCUGUCCCUCUACGAUGGGCUGGUAUAGUCCAGGCCCAGAGCUGUGGGUUCCCGGGAGUCUUCAAGUCAGGCACAACUCUGGGUAAGCCCAAAUCCAGCCUCUGAUGUGUGGGAACCACUAGCCUCUUUCUGUGCCAUGAGGCCACCGCAGCCUGACACCGCCCCUGUGCCCACCCAGCCUUCCUCAUCUCCACAAAGCCAGCCGCCCUUGAGCCUCCAGGCCCUGGUUCUCUUCCCCCCUGCCCUGCAUCCACCUGCCGCCUGAAGCCACUGGUUCCAAUCGUCAACAACCUCCGCUUGUCCAAAACAACGACAAACCGAAACGGAAAGGCUCCAGCCCUCUGCAAAACUGAGCGCCCGGCUGUCUCCCUCGGCAGCCACCCCAUUCUUCCUGCUGUCCGGCCUGUGUGCUUUCUUUUUUUAUUUCAAACGGACAUUGUAAAAGAAAACAAACUACCUUCUGUUCUAAAGGAUACUGACCAUUGGGAGAAGGCCUCUGUCUCAGAGAACUCAGUCUCUGCCUGGUCCCCUGAAGUGGUGGUGACCAGGGCCAGUGAGGCUGCUGGCAGCAAGGGUGUUAGUGGCAGUGGCUCACGUGAUAACAGUAUUGUGCGUUUUGUGGAGAAACUGAGGGUUUUUUUUAUACUCAUAUAUAAUCGAACCUUUUAUUUAUUGGUUGUUAACUCUUGCUGCUACCUUGUGUGUCUGAAACUCCCAGGAUGCUGGGCCUCCGUUUACAUGUGCACACCCUCAUCCACCUGCCUGCCUCACUUGGGAGGAUGGUGGCCUGCAGCGGCCAAGAAGCCAAAAAUCUUUUCCUCUUUUUUUUUUCUCAGAUACUGUGCCCCAUUUUUGGAGAGGGGAAGGUGGGCAUUGCUAAAUGGCUAAUGUACUGUUCCCCCAGCUUCUGCCCUGGAGUCCCCACCCCUCGCCUCUGCUCUCCUUGGAAUCCAUAACACUUUUUUUCAAAAACAAACUUGAGGUUUUUUUUUUUUUUUUUUUUUUUUAAUUUUGCAACUUUAAAUUUGAUGUUAACAGCAGAAAGAAAAUGGAGAGCCUUGUUCUGAGAGUAGGAGCUAGGAGAGUGUGUCCGGCACACAGUAGAGAGCGUAUGAAGUGGGUUUCCCUGCAAACUGCUGGCCUCAGCCUCCCUGAUGCUAAGAGGCUGGGUAGGUGUGGCAUGUGAAUCCCUCUGCUCUCCUGCCCUGACUGCUUUUUGCAGUAGUCUUCUUCCCUACCAGGAGUCUGAGAAAGAAGGGGUAGGAGGAUAACACCAGGCCCUGUUGGUCCUCAGGACUGGGUCCAGAGCCAGAGAGAUGGCUCCAUACUUGUCACCAGGAGGAGCGGGCAACCAUGGCUUCUCUGGGACUUUGUAGUCUUUCCCUUCUCGAUCAGCAGGGCUGGAAGGCCUGGUGGUUGGCUUUGUUGAUCUUGUGUGAUUCUUAGCCCAGAGCUAGGGUUCCUGUGUUUGUGACACUGUUCUAUGGCUGGGUUUUCUAGUCUGGAGGGCACAGGAUCGUAUGAAUGACAGUACAACCCUCAUAUAGUCUCUGGGCACAGCCUUGGUUGCCGGAGUGUGUGGUCUGCCUCAGAGGCUGACUGUGUCUGAUGGCACCCCCUUUAGCCCCUCUUUAGGAUUUCCCAGACUCUUGAGUCCCUUUGGGCUCAUCCUCACCCUGGGGAGCUUUCCGGGGUGAGCCUCUCAGCUGCAGAGGCAGACCUAAGCUCACAGUUCUUGCUUCUAGUUUGUGUAACCUCUCUGCCCACCAUUGAGAGGGGGAAAUUGGUUCCCGGAUUUUUCUUCUGCUCUGACUCUCCUGUAAUCUCCAGCAUACUUCUGGGAGACCAAAAUCUUCCUUGCUAAUGACCUGUGGAUGAGCAGCUGUCCCCUGGAGGAUUGAUGUCCCCCAUCAAUAGGUGGCUUUGGCUGCCUGUCCAUCCCUGUGGUGGGAAUGCUUAGCUAGUCCAUGCACACUCCCUCUUCCUGGGUAGACCCUUUGCUCAUGCUGUGCCCAUUGCUAGCCCACCAGAUCCCACAGGGAAAUUUUCUUUGAGACCUCUUUGGGUCAUCUUCCUGCUUGAUCCCUGACAUGUCCUAGAGAGUAGAUGUGGUGUCAUAGGUUGAGAGGCCCUCUCUCUGGUCUCUGGAGACUCAGCUGUCCCUCUGUCAGUGGACAUUUUUGGUGGCAUCAAGACCCAGUGAUUCCAAGCUGAGGAGAGGCUCCUCAGCUAAGGUGUUCACUUUUUUCUGUGGGUCCAGGCUUCCUCUCAGGAUCUCGGCUUUUUGGUUUGUAGCCUUCAGUGUGGCUUUUGGUCUUCACAGUUUAUGUCCUUGGGUCCAAGCCUCGGACUUUGAGACAGCCCUGGGCUGCCUUUUCCUGGCAGGGUGUGGGACACUGUUUUUGUUCAAGGACGCGUGCUGACUGAUGUCUGUCUCUCUUUCACCAGCAGUUAGCUGAGGCACACAGCACGCCCAGAAUCUGAGGCCAGGCCUCUUCUGUGCAGCCUGAGGACCUCUCCAAGUUCAUUUCCACAGAGGCCCCACCCCAUCUGAUGCUGCUUUCUUUAGGGGUGUGGUCCAGCCAGUGAGGCCAGGCCCCUGGUACCUCGGCAGACCCUCCUUUCUAGGGCCAGGAAUGCUGUGACCCCCUCUUCCCAGCAUCUGCUGCCCACCUUGUGUCGACGGUGACUUGGGAGCCUAUCACGACUUUUCAGUAUCUAGCCAGGUUUAAAAUAACAAGGCAAAUGUAUGCAGCAUUGACAUCUCUUUCUUUAAAUGGUCUACAGUUUGACAGGCCAUUUCCUAGGAAGCUGUGUUUCCUUUGCACUUUGGGGGACCUUGUCUCUUCUAGGAGAUAGUGGGGUGUGCAGUCCCUGGGGAUCCCUGGCAUCUCUCCUGAGAAAGCCCCCACUGCUGGCCAAGCAGAAAGCCUCCAAGAUUCUUUCCAGUGUGUUUCUGCAUUUACAUGAUCUAAAGAUGCAUGGGGACGCCCCCUGGUGGUGAUGAGCCGCAGUGGCACCCGGGGAUGCAGUGGUCCAGCCAGAGGUGAGGCUAGAGGUGGGAAGGCCAAGGUGGGGGCUGUGAUUUCCGAGGUCCUGGGCCCCCAGCCCUACAUAUCUGGCAGCAUGCCUCCCACCCACACCUCUGCUAGGUCAGCUGGGACUGGCAAGGUAGUUGGCAUAAGGGCACAGUGGGAAGCUUUGCCCUCCCAACUUUAAUUUUUUAAAAAAAUAUCUGCAGAAUAAAUCCAAUGGUUAAUUUUUGAAUGAAUAAAAGGCUUUUGUUGAAUAAACAGUUGGUCCCAUCUUCUGUGUUGGCAUUAGGUUCAGGUUUUGUCUGCUUCCUAGGGUGGGGGCCCCACCCAACACCCUUUACCUCUGCAUUCCCGGACCAAGUCUCCAGAUUCCUUCAGGACGUUGGAGGAGUCACGUUACUCAUUGGAUCUGUUUCUCCAUGCCUCAGAAAGAGGUCAGCCACCUUGCAGGGGUGACAGGCCAGCGUUGUGUGGGUUGGUGCUCCUAGGGGUUCCUACAGCUCCCGACGGAUUUUUAGGUGACUUAAAAACCAAAUCUAGAGAAGGUGAUGUUUUCACUCUGGUUGUUUGCAUCCUUCCCUGCUUGUGUUCCCAGCACCCUCGGUGUCUCUUUUUGGGGUGCCGUCCUGUCUAUGUCUUGGGGGACAUAGGGAGGCCCUCGCCUGGUGGUGCAGGCCAAGGGUGAUAGGCUUUGUCGCAUGUCCGGGUCUCCUCCCUGCUCCCGAUGUAUGUCGUCUGUGUCUGGCCGAUUAAACAUGCUUCCUGGACCUCCCCA